rnacentral:lncRNA from 1 species
CUGAACUUGUCUGUUGGAGAUGGGAUUGAGCUAUGCUGUGACAUUAGAGCUUGCUUGCUUGUUGCAGUUCUUGAUCUCUUUUUUAUCAUCUCAAUCAAAUACUAUAUUCCCACACUGAGUACGAAUACAUAAAAAAUUAAUGAACGAGCUACCAAAUUUAAUUAAAAAAUGAAGGCUUUGUUAACCAACAAAAAAAAAUGACAGGAGAUUUACCUGGAAGGAUUUGGGAUUUUACCCAGUAGUAUCCAUGGAUUCCAGGGGCUAAGAUCAAGACCAGCUUCGAGCUCAGAAAUAUGAAAGAAAUUCUUGGAUACGUGGCUUCCUUGAAGGUUUAUGCUAGGGAAAGAUAGGCAAAAGA